CAAAACUAAACUAUGAUACAGAAUCAGUGUUAUUAUGAAUGUUAGUGUUCUGUCAGCAUGAUUUAGUGCAGGAGGUUUUUGUACAGCUGAUGAUUGGCUUUGUAUCACUGUGGUACACAUUUGGUGGAGGCACUCGACUCUCAGUUGGAACUGCGGCUCGUCCCACUGUGGCGGUGCUUUGGCCCUCCAGAGAUGAGCUGCAGAAGGGUCAGGCUACAGUGAUGUGUGUGGCCAGUAAGGGAUUUCCCUCUGACUGGACGCUGAGCUGGAAGGUGGGCGACAGCAGCAGGAGCUCUGGUGUGAAUAUGAGUCCCAGUGAGCUGCAGGAGGAUGGACUGUACAGCUGGAGCAGCAGCCUGAGCAUCACUGAGAGUGAGUGGAGCAGAGCAACAAGCAUCAGCUGUGACGCCACACACCCGUCCCAGCACACAGUGAGCCAGAGGAUACACACACAGCAGUGCCAUGAUUAGCAGCACUGAACAUACGCAAGCAUGCACGCACACACAGGUUAUAGACAUGCCUUAAUAUUAAUUCACACACUCAAUCAAAUGUUUGUCCACAUUGUUUUCAAGUUUGCUCUAUGUUCUAUUUUUCUUGUUCCAUUUUAAAGUUUUUCUUCCCACAUUUGUACACAUUCUUUGAUUUAGUUGUAUUAAACAAUUAUUUUGCAAAAUAAAAGCUUUUUGAAUCAUUAA